CACACGGUGAGGAAUGGACCCAGACCUUCAGUGCCAGACCUCUGACCCGUUAACCUCCAUCCCGACAGCCAGCGCCUUCUCCGGCUCCCAUUGCGGUAUCGGUUCUCGGCUUUUUGGACAAGAUCAAGUGGACACCGGGGACUACAAGUUUAAAUGGAUUUUUGACCUUCGGAAAUGGAAGCGAGGCUUGCUCCGUCCACUCCAUUCAUCGACUCGGGCGCUUUCCGGGCACAAAUAAGUUUGCGGAGGUGAUACCAGGACGAAUUAAACAGCCUCGACACAGCUGAAGGCGCAAGAAAAUCGUACGAGACAGUUUGGGAUGUUAAAAACACCUGAAAACUUUUUUUCCACUACCCUUCAUACUACAGCGGUCGAAAAACCACAGCAACGUCGACACGCCUGGAAGCAUAGCUGUAUUUGUUUAAGACAACGGCUGUCGAAGAACCACAGCAACGUCGGCAGAUCUGGAAGCAUAGCUGUAUUUGUUUAACUCACAACGACAACGGGUAAAUCAUUGAGCCCUUGUGUUUUUAUUUAUCCACGUUCUAAAAUUGCUAUGCUUUCGUUGUUUCUCGAUUGCUCUGUACAUUUCUUUGUUUCUAUUCCACGUAAAGUUACUUUGUAAUAACGAAACGAUAUAUUGAAAUGCGCUAUUUAAAUCCAUUUGAUUUAAAUUGUUUCACGUUUUUCUCUCUGCACGGUUUAACCGGGCUGGAAACGGAAAAUGGGUAGAUCUCGAAGAAUAUUUGGUUUCAGACCUGGCUUCGUGCGCCUUUCCGCCUGGUCACACGCAGUAAUGAAAUGGUAGUCGGACGGCCUUCGGGGGCGCCGUCGAUGUGAUCGGUCACAGGAAGAUGCGGCCGUCUGGCCUCAAAGGCUGUUGCUCAUACUUACCUGGCAGGGGAGAUACCAUGAUCAUGAAGGUGGUUCACCCAGGGCGAGGCUCAGCCAUUGCACUCCGGUUGUGCUGACCCUUUGCGAAUUCCCCAAAUGUGGGAAUCUCGACUGCAAAAUUUCUGAUAGUGGGGGACUGCGUUCGCGCUCUCCCCUGGC